rnacentral:lncRNA from 1 species
AGCAUCAGAGCCGCCCGGAAGGGGUCUGCCCUGGCAUCUGACUGUCAGAGGGAAGGGGCCCGAGAAUCUGCACCCCCGGCAAGGUUCGCCCCACUGCUGAUCCUGAGAACCAUCGUUUCGGCAAAUUCUGUUCAUCACGAGGACCUGGUUGGUUCUCCGACCGUGCAUGGUUUGGGAGGAAGCCCGGGGAGACUUAGCUCCUGACUUCUCUCAGCCCUCGGCCCGGGAUGCGCGGGGCUCUCAGAAAGCGGCGGCCAGGGCAGCUAGGGUGGUCUCAGGCUGAUGCUCCGUGCUCCCCGUUUGCACACAGCCCCGUCAGCUCCAUGCUUCCUAAAAAUCACUCCCCAAAAGCAUGUUUUGCGGCAGUGGCGGCGGCGGCCACGGAGCACUAGGAAUUUCCUGUGGCGAGGAGGGAGGCGGCAGAGCCACCAGCCGUCCCCACUCGCUCGGCAGGGCCACGUGCCCCACCCCCUCGAGCACAUGUCUCCGCCGCACCGCCGCAGCCGGCUGUGUAUGAGCGAGUUGUUGUGGUAGAAAUGGAGCAGGCUGCACAUGCCCGGGCCAUGUGACCCGGGCGGCCCGCGUGAGUCCUGUCCUCCGGCGGCCGGGCGGGGCGGCAGGCGGGGCGAGCGAGAGGGCACCGGGCUCCCUCGGGCCCCCAGCCCUGGACCCUGCUGUCCCUCUGGUCCCUUCGGAGGCGGGCGAACAAACGGCAGCAGGGAGAUAGGAUCGUCCUAGGCACACUCCCCUCCCAGACAGCCCUCGGGGUUCACACAGCCCGGAGCCCCGGCCCCCCAAGAACAAAGGGGCUCCCCAAGCCGUAGAAUCCUCACCCCAGCCCGCCCUGGCCCAGAGCCCAGAUCCGGUUUCCCUGUGGGUCCCCACAUGUUGGGGAGCCUGUCCCCUCUUCCUAGGAAGGAAUGUGCCGCACACAGGCGGCUACUGCCCACCCCGGGAUCAGAACAAAGAGAAGCCGUGGGUGCGGGGGUCUGGCGCCAGGCGGCAGGGUCCUUCCUUCAGCAGCGGCCGGCGAGGUCGCCGCACAGGAAGGGGAAACGCUGCCUGCCAAGUGCCUGGAGUGCAGAGCGAAGGAGGGCGCACGUGACACCCCAACCCCGGACCCCACUUGCAGCCUCUGCCCUGGCCCUGCGGGUGACCCGGUUUCCGAGCCGCGGCGCCCCUCGCCGGCCGGGCCGGGCGCCGCGCCGCAGUCAGGCGGACAGUAGGUUACCAGGAGCAAGCACACCCCGAGUGCGCGCGACCCACAUUCGCUCAUCGCGCCGAAACUUCGCAGAUCCUGCAUUGCAGAGGGUGCAAACUGCGCAUUCUAAUGAGGCGAAGCUCCUUCCUGCGGCAUUGAAAAUCUCUCCGGCAAAUUGCUUCUCCCGCCCUCCCCCCCAUAAUUUAGAAAAGGGGCCAGGAUCACGAAUUUGCGAAGUUGCAUCCUUUCUCUCGCCCUCCCCUGCCUCCCUCCGCGGAGACCCCGCAGCCCUUGCAGCUGCAGACCCGGGCGGCGCGGUGGGGGGUGGGGAGGACCUCGAGGCCCUUCCUUCUCCUCGGGCAGGCUGA